UGCAUCGCCGGGAAUCGAACCCGGGCCGCCCGCGUGGCAGGCAAGCAUUCUACACUACGAACCACCGAUUC
rnacentral:tRNA from 1 species